rnacentral:tRNA from 1 species
CAGAGAAUAGUUUUAAAAAAAAUAUUAAUUUUGGAGAUUAGAGAUAAAAGUUUAAUUUUUUCUCUGA